rnacentral:rRNA from 1 species
GUGGGGAAUAUUGGACAAUGGGGGAAACCCUGAUCCAGCCAUGCCGCGUGAGUGAAGAAGGCCUUCGGGUUGUAAAGCUCUUUCGGCGGGGACGAUGAUGACGGUACCCGCAUAAGAAGCCCCGGCAAACUUCGUGCCAGCAGCCGCGGUAAUACGAAGGGGGCUAGCGUUGUUCGGAAUUACUGGGCGUAAAGCGCGCGUAGGCGGUGAUCUUUGUCAGAGGUGAAAGCCCGGGGCUCAACUCCGGAAUUGCCUUUGAAACGGGAUCGCUUGAGUCCGAGAGAGGAUGGCGGAAUUCCUAGUGUAGAGGUGAAAUUCGUAGAUAUUAGGAAGAACACCGGUGGCGAAGGCGGCCAUCUGGCUCGGUACUGACGCUCAGGCGCGAAAGCGUGGGGAGCAAACAGGAUUAGAAACCCGAGUAGUCC